rnacentral:lncRNA from 1 species
CUUCCAUCAAUCUCCAACGAAAAUCUACUUGUAAGUUCACUUCUGUUUACCUAUCGUUCUUAUUUGUUGCAUGUCUAUAUAAAGUCAUGUAAUAAAAAGUUUUGUCAAAUAAAUAUUAGUAUUAUUACAAGAAAGUUUUAAGAAAAAUAUUCACACAAAAAUCUUCUAUCAAAAGUACUUUUGUACGCACAAAAGUUACGCAAAUUAGCAAGUUUGGACACUUUCAAAAUUGAGAAUAUUCUAAUUCUAUGAAAAAUUAGUCAAGAACUAAUAUCCAAUAAAUCAAAAGUACUAAGCAGCAUCACACACACAAAAAAUUGUUUAACUUAUCAAAGUAUUGGAGUGCACAAUCAUCUUUUGAAAUGGAUCAAUCGAGUUAGAUCACUCCUUCACGAUUAUAGUAAAAAUAUACAAUUGGCUCCAUAGGUCAAUAUUCUUAUUUCUGUAUAUUUGUCCAGUAAUAAACAGACUAUUCGUUAGAGAUAUUUUUUUUUUAAAAAUCGAAUGUUAAUUAGCGUAGACUUUAUUCGGGAAUAUAAGUCUUUGAAAAAGGACUCAUUGUUAAUGUAUAAUUAGGUAGAAACUACCAUACAUGCUACAUGAAUACAAGGGCAUGCUAUUAUAACAAUAGUUAAACCAACGAAUUACUUCAACAUGGGACUACAUAACCAUACGUUUCUCUAUUUAUCUAUAUCUAUCUAUCUAUACUAUAUAUUAAAAGUGGGAACCUCAAACUUAAAAGUUAAAUUACUAAAAUGCCCUCCUUAAUUUUCUAAUUAAGUACCCUAUUGCGUUUAAUAAAACCAUAAAAGACACCUAAAAUUUCUAACGUUGCCUUGCAAAAAUGCUUCGAUAUCAUUGAAAAAGCAGUUUCCAUGUGCUUCAAGCACAUCUAUGAUUUUGGAGAUAAGCGGACUCGAACCGUUGACAUCCGCCGCAGGGUAAACCACCGCCUCUCAAGAGUAUUUGAUGAAACGGUGGAAGCUUUUACAAUACCCUUCUUAAUUACUUAAGAACCCCAUUUUAAAAAAAAAAAGUAAUUAAGAAGAAUGCCUAUAAUUUCUAACGUUGCUUUGGUUGAGAGAAGUUACUGAAACGAUGACAGCUUUUGUUAUUGAGAAAGCAUCUCUACUUGAGAACCCAGUAAACUGAAACCUGCAUUAAUUAACCUAUACACGAAUAAAGCUUCUUCUUUAUAUUUUCAAGUAGUACGUUUACAUCAUAUAAGUUCAUUUACAUUCAUCCGAAAGAACAAUGUAAGGUAUGACCAACGCUCCCAAACCAGGUGAUUAACCAAUCGUCUUGCUUGAUCACGAAAUAGGAAAUUGCCGAAAAACACAUACGAAUAACUAACUGCUGGCCAAGUGCUUUUCUUACUGUCUUGUGAUUAAUCCAAUACCGGAAAUAUAGCAUCCAACUUUUCUUUACUACCCAGGACUUCGAUACAUUAAGAAAUUAGGUAGAAGAAUAAAAUUUUUAGCAUUAGGAUUUCAUAUUUGUACAGGCCCCUUUCAAUACCACGGAAAGCAUCCCUAUUAAUCAGGUAAAGCGAGGUUAACACUGCUUCAAACCAUAAAGACUUUUGAAGAUUCAUCUCAAAGGAAAGUGCCCUAAUAACUUCCAAUAAAUGUCUCUUUUUCCAUUCUGCAACCCCAUUUUGCUGUGGGGUGUAUGGGCAUGUCAUUUGAGACUCAAUACCUUGUUUGUCCAAAUAUCCCUACAGCAGUUUUUGGGAAAUGUACUUUCUACCAUUAUCUGACUUAAGUCUUUUUAUAGAAAUUGAGAAUUAAAUUAAAUGUUUCUCCAGGAAGACCGAGAAUGAAGAAUGCAUAACUAAAGUGAAAAUGGGAGACGCCUUUAAUUUCUUGGGAACAACAUGCAAAUUUGGCCAACAACAUGCAACCGGUUGGAAAUUAAAGGAUAUCGAAUAGGAUUGUAUUUGAUCUAUUAUUUAGUUCGGUCGUGGUACAUGAUGGAGUGUUAUCCUAUCAAAAGAUUCAUGGAUCGUAUAGGAUUAAUUUGAAUCUGAUACUGAGAAAGGAUCCUACAUUGUUGGUGAAGAGUCGAUUUGGAAAAUCUUAACUAAUGCUACUUCGUCGGGUCGCCUCAUGCCGUAGUGAAGUUCAUUGCAAUGUUAUUCUUCUGUGCUUAUAUACUCCUAUUUAAUUUAUCGCUUGACGUAAAAGAAAAAUUCCUAUGUAAGCGAA